UUUGAGCUUUCCUUCGGGCCGCGCCUCUGCUCUCGCCCAAGUCGCCUCAUCGCGUCUCCGCGAUUGUUCCCUUUCCUUUCUCUCGUCGUCUCGAUUCGUUUCGAAUCCCUCGUCGCCUCUGCUCCCUGUGCUCGCAGGGAAUUCGGCCCGUCUCGUCCGCCUCCGGGGAGCGAUCGACCGGGGAUUCCGUCGAGCCGUUCGGUUUUGCUUCUGCGGCUGAUUUGGUUUCGGGCGACCCCAGGGCCGGAGCAAGGUCAGUUUCUCGUGCUCGGUCCGAUCGGUUCCUUGGUCCCGUCACCUGCCUGCGCUCGUCUCGUCGGUGGUUUCAGAUUUGAAUUGAAUUGAAGGGCCUUCCGGUUCCAUGUCCCCGAUCGAGCGCCCUCGUCGUGAUGUUAAUACGAGGUGAAUUCGAGACCCUCGUGGAUUCUUGCUGUGCCGGCUGAUCUAGCUUUUGCUGUAUGUGCUCUGCUCUCGUCCUAGAUGCAGAACCAAUUGAGCGGGCGCUAGUUCUGGUCAGACGAUAUAGAUGAAGGGGCGAGGUUUGACUUCUGUUCAUGGUUAUUCUGAUUGAUUGGUUACAGUCCAACGGUUAUUCUGAUAUGGUCAGAUUUUCUCGGAUGAUCAAGCUUUCUAUCUCUUAUCAAGCUAUAUAGGAUGGAAUACACGAUCUGCGUUUGGAUAAUAUGUCAAUCCCUCCUAAUUUAGUUUCUUGGUUUGCACUGUACGGUACAAAUUCUGAUUUGGAUAUUUUGCUGGCUGUCCAGAAAUUGGGAUUACAGUGCCUAACGGGAGCCACUCGUCUUCUUGCUGACCUGCGUUUGCAUGAUCACUCUCUGCUCAAUUUGUUCUUCUGCACAAUUCAAUUAUUCUCCCAACAACUCUGAUUUUGAUAUGCUGCUGGCUCUCCAGAAACUGGAAUUACAUAGCCUAGCGGCGGGUGGUCCUAUUUUGGCUCGCCAUGGCGUUUCUUCUUAUGGGGAUCAACUUUCUGGACCUUUCUUAUUGAAAUAAUUAUAUUUCAGCAAACAUUAGUUUCCCUGCCUUAGUCAUUCUCAGCUCUUGCAGAUGGUGCCUUGCAAGGGAUAUAAUUGGAGCUUGUGUUGUCUACCUGACCUGAUGAGUUUGCGGUUCUUCUGAAUCUAUCUUCUCAAUUCCUUAACUUAGAUAAUAGUACUAAGAUUUCUUACUAGGCAAUAUUUCAAAUUCAGAUUUAGCUGCAAAGGUGCAAGAAUGAAGCUUCAAACUAGUGGCGUAUCCUACAACCGGAAAAAACUUAAUCUCUUAUCCUCUUAUUUUUAUUUAAUACAGCUACAUGUUCUUGUCUUUGAUUUAGGUUUUUUGCUUCUGCCCUCCAUGUCGUUGCAGAUUUGUUUUGGCCUCAGACAAUGCUGGUAGUGAGCCUGAAUCUGUUAAAAUUCGUCUGGUUUGCCAUCUACUAUCUCUUUGUGGUUUGAUUGGUUAUCUGUACUCUUGAUCCCUGCGUUAGUCUUCCUGCCCAUUGCUAUCUGAUAUAUUUAGGAAGCCGGGGACUACAUGCAAACAUGUGCUUUGCACGUGUCACGGUGUCAGGUCAGUGUCUUGACUGUUGGUUCAUUUGUGUUUGCUUCCAUGCGUUGGUUGCAGGACUGGAUCUGGUAUGUGGAGAUCCCUGGGGUGUUGUAUGUCGAAGGGGAUUUGAAGCAGGUAGAUUUGAAUGGCUGUCGUUCGUGUGGUCUUCUGGUUCUCACUUCUGGUUCUCACCGGAGGACAUGUUUUGGUGUUCUAACUGAAGUUUUGGGUUGCUCAUCAACCUGGAACUUGUGAUCCGUGUUUGGAUGAUCUCAAAUUCUCGAUCACUCUGACUUAACUUCUUCAUAUUCAUUUCAUAGUAAAAUAAUUUACUCUCCAGAGGUUCUGAUUUGGAUUAUCAUUGAUGGAUCUCCAGAAAUUUGGAUUUGGCUUAGCGGCGGGGCUGGUCUUCUUCCUAUCACUUUGACUUAACUUCUUCAUAUUCAUUUACAUAGUAAAAUAAUUUACUCUCCAGAGGUUCUGAUUUGGAUUAUCAUUGAUGGAUAUCCAGAAAUCUGGAUUUGGCUUAGCGGCGGGGGUGGUCUUCUUCUUGCUGAUCUGCUUUGGAAUCAUUACUUCCUCCUUUCAUUUAUUUCUCUCCAUAGCUCACCUUUAGUCUACGACAAUCCUGAUUUGCAUUUGUUGGUGGUUCUUCAGAAAUUGGGUUAUAUGGCUUAGCGGGAGCACCUAUUGUCUUGGUGGUCUACAUUGGAUGAUCGUUACCUUCUCAGAUUAAUUUCUUCUUCUCCAGAGUUCAAUUAGUCUCCCAACAAAUUCUGAUUGUGAUCUGUUGAUGGUUUUCCAGAAAUUGGAAUUGCGGGCGGUCCUAUUUUGCCUCAGCAUGGCAGUUCCUUUUGUGGCUCAAACUUUUUCAACCUUCCUUAUUGAACUGUAAUGACAUUAGGUUUUAUCUGCCUUAGUCGGUAAUUCUCAGCUCUUGCAGAUACUUGACAUGGAAAGGAUAUAACUGCAGUUUCGGACUGGUGGUGUUGUUGUCCGUCAACCAUAGCUGAACUUCCUAUCGGAGACAGGCUUAUUUGUUCCUGCCCAUCGUUUGAUCAAUGCUUUAACAUUUCCCCCUAACUGAAAAUUUACAGAAAGGUCUCUUGCUCAUUGCAGGUUGUAGUUGGCAAACUCAAGCCCAACCUGAUGAUGAAUCUGUUUGCAAAUCUUCUAAAUCCACUAGUAUUGUUUCAAUUCAUUUUAACUUAAGUAAAACUACAAAUUAUCUUACUAGGCAAUAUUUUAUAAUACAGAUUCAUAUGUGAAGUUGCAUAAAUCUAAGGAUAAUCCGAAGUUUUUGACCAAUGGCACAUCCUACAACCGAAAAUAACUCUUUCCAUCCUUCUUUUAAUUUCAUUUAGCUGCUUGGCCAUGUAUUUGAUAUAGGUUUUUGCUCCUACCCUUCCUGUGGUUGCAGAUUUGUUUUAGCCGAGGUCAUUUGGGUAAUGACGCGGAAUCUGUUUUAAUAUUUUGGUUUGCGAUCUAGCUCUUCGUCGUUAUCUUUAACUCUUUAUCCCUAUGUUCUAUUGGUCUUCUGAAAGUGUGGGUUGCAGGAUAUAAUAGUUAGGAGUUUGUGCCCAAACCUUCAUUUGUUAGCGCCACCUCCGUGAGUUCACUUGCAGGACUGGAUCUGGAUCUGGUUUGGACAGGAAACUCCCUAUGGUGUAUAACAGUAUAGGAAGGAGGCUUGAGGCAGGUCAGUUUCCCAUGUUCGGUCACAUUGGUUUACUGGAUCCCUCAUCUGUGCUCGGUGAUGGAAGAUUUGAGUGGCUAUACCUUGAGUUCUUCUGUCUUUGUCUGAUGGCUCAUCAGUACCGUUGUCCCUCAAUACGAGUACAGCUGAUCUCGCUUGUGGUAUGCGUUUGUGCUCCUUGAGAUGCAGGAUGUUGUGGAGUGAUGAAUCAAAGGAUCGAGGUUUGCCUUACUGUUCAUGGUUAUUUUGAUUGGUUAUGGCUCAGUGGAUGGUUAUAAGCUAGGAUCUUAUGUGCUGAUGUUUCCCUUAUGGAUUGAAGCUGUGGAUUGGAUAGUUAAACAUGGGAUGGGAUCAGAGAAUUUGUGAACAGUGCUCGGAUAAUCAAUCCUCCUUGAUUUAGUUUCUUUGUUUGCACAGUCAAAUUUAGCUUACAACAUCUCUGAUAUAGAUUGUUGGUUCUGGGGACUUUCCGGAAGGUGCUCUGUUUUGUUUCACCAUGUUACAGGCGGUUUCUUCUGUUGACUUCAAUAUUUCCUGAUUUGCUUUGAACAUUAUACUUCCUAUGGUUUUCUUUGCCCUUGGUAACUAUGUGUCCUUGCAGAUAUUGACAUGGAUGAGAGAUAAUAUAGUUCGCUAUCUGGAACUGGUGUCGUUGCCUAACUGAUCUCUCCCAGCCAAGCAGGCUUAUCCUAGCCCCUAACUGUUUUGAUGCAUUAUUUAGCUGUUUAAUGGGAAGGUGGUUGCAGGUCCUAAUUGACUUAUUUAGGUCCACCCUGAUGUGGAGUUAUCUGUUUGAAGAUCUUCUAAACCCUACACCUUUCCAAUUCAUUGCAAUUUGUUCAACAUAUAAAUUAUCUUAUGGAGACAAUUUGAACAUUCAGAUUUAUUUGGUGGAUCUUUAAGAUUCGAAGGUUGCUCUGGGGCUUCAGUCUUGAUGGGACAUCCUACAACCGAAAAAACCUCUCUACAACCGAAAAAUUAUCUUAUGCUGAGUUAUCUCCUGAAGAAACUUGUGUUGUCUUGGUUGCCUUUUGCUUGUAGCAUUGAUUGUGGUUUUUUGCUUCCGCCUUCCUGUGGUUGCAGAUCAAGCCAUGCUGGUAGCCAUUCAAAAUAUGUUACCUUUGUGGUUUCUCAUCCUCUCUGGUUUACUUUGUUAUCUGUACUCCCCAUCCAUGUGUUUCUGUUGAUCUGUUGGCAUGCUGGAUUUGUUCUUUGCAGUAUAUGUUGGAAUUGGUGGGUGCGCCCUGUAGAGUCAGGUCAGUGUCUGGUCUGCUCUCAAUGCAAAAAUUAGCUUUGUUCCUAUCUUCUCCAAUCUCCAAUGGCUAAUCAACGAUUCUGUCUGUCACAUAAUACAAGGUGAAUUUUAUCUCGUUCAUGGCAUGCGCAUUUGUUCCUUUAGAUACAAGACAGUGGAGAUUGUAUUGAAGGCUAGAGGUUUGGGUGAUUUAUGGCUGUUCUUUAGCUCCUCGGAUGAUAUCUUAAGUUUGGGAUUGGAAUUGUUGGUCAUGCCUGCAUGGUUGAGGAUUCAUAAGUGUCUUGAGGCGUGACUGGACUGUUUUGGAUAUAUUCUCCUCCUAUUUGGUUUCUCCAUAUGUGGCAUACAAUGAGGAUAAUUCAGAUCAGCGUGCAUAACUUCCCUAAACCAGGCUUAUCCCUAUCUCCCUUUCUAUACUUGUUCACAUGUUUUUGAUGUUGAACAACUUUCUCCAAAAUGGUUAGGCAUCAUGGUCUCUUGUUCAUUGCAGGUGUACUUGACAAUUUUACGAAAGAAAUCUGAUGUCAUGCUGUGUGAAAAUUUGCUUGGAGACCUUCUGAUUUCACAUUUUUCUAUUUAGUUAGCUAGAAAACCAAUUAGCUGUCAAGUCUGAGUAUUCAAACUAAUCCGCAGAGGUGAAGAGUUCUAAAAGCUUGUUUGGGAGCUUCUUUUUGGAUAGAGGACUAAUUUGAACUAAAACCACGAUACUUAUUUUGGGACAGAGGAUAUAUGCUCCAUCCUUGUUUUGACUCAUUGUCCAGUUCUAAUUUUCCUUGAAGAAACUUUUAAGUAUGCCGGCGUACCUUUUGCGUCAGCGAGGAAAUGGGGACAACGGCUUAAGCCAUUAGGUGGGCUGUUCAUUGAUAGGCACUGUUGGAGGUUUUAUUGGAAGAUUGUUGAGUUGGAAAGUCUAGCAAAACGUCAGUUGGUGGGGGUACUCGGUGAAGCAAAUGGAUUAAUCCUGAUCCUGAAGCAUACUACUUGAUUUGGUCUUUGUGGCAGCUUUCAGUUUGAACUUGCAUUCAGUGGUAGUCUGGAGUUAGUAGUGUGCACAUCUGAUUCUUCCAACCGUCCUGAAGCAUCUUACUUGGUUUCUGUUCUGUGCCAUCGGUAUCUGCUUCAACUUGCAUGUGGUUUAUAAUAUGAUCUCAUCUUUUGCUCCGAAUCAAGAAAAUGCUAGAAGUAAUGAUGCCUUAACUGGAAGUUCCUUUAGUCUCAAACAACGGUCCAACAAUGGAAAUAUCAGUUCAUACUUGUAUAGGAGAUUAAUCAAAUUUUCAUUUGGCUAUUAAUUGCCAUACUGUUUCCGGAAGCUGGGUUUUAAUAGGCUGCUUGUAUCUAAUUUUAUAUCUAGCAGCAAUAUCUUAGCUGCAAAUUUAUAUCAAUGUACAUGAGCUCUGUAUAUGCAGUAAAAUAUCUCCAUAUAUUUGAUUGCUUUGGGACA